rnacentral:misc_RNA from 1 species
AGCAGCCGCGGUAAUUCCAGCUCCAAUAGCGUAUAUUAAAGUUGUUGCAGUUAAAAAGCUCGUAGUUGAAUUUCGGGAUUAAUAUGUCGGUCGUGCCUUCGGUACGUACUGGUAUCAUUGGUCUCUCCUUUCUGACGAACCAUGAUGUUAUUAAUUUGGUGUUAUGGGGAGUUAGGACUGUUAACUUUGAAAAAAUUAGAGUGUUUAAAGCAGGCUUUAGCUUGAAUACAUUAGCAUGGAAUAAUGAAAUAGGACGUUCGAACCUAUUUUGUUGGUUUCUAGGAUCAACGUAAUGAUUAAUAGGGAUAGUUGGGGGCAUUAGUAUUCAAUUGUCAGAGGUGAAAUUCUUGGAUUUAUUGAAGACUAACUACUGCGAAAGCAUUUGCCAAGGAUGUUUUCAUUAAUCAAGAACGAAAGUUAGGGGAUCGAAGACGAUCAGAUACCGUCGUAGUCUUAACCAUAAACUAUGCCGACUAGGGAUCGGAUGAUGUUAAUUUUUAAUGACUCAUUCGGCGCCUUA